rnacentral:snRNA from 1 species
AUCACUUCUCGGCCUUUUGGCUAAGAUCAAGUGAAGAAAAUGUGUAGAGCUCAUACUUUCCUUGCUCAAGGCAUUGCCAGGAAGUUGAUGGAUUUUCUUAUCAUGAUGAACAAUGUCCUUUUCUAUUACAUUUAAAAAUUUUUUAACAUUUAUUUUU